rnacentral:lncRNA from 1 species
UUCAAGACCAUUUCUUCUUGAAAUUUCGGUGGGAGACAGCCAUGGAAGAGGGUUUGGAGCUGGUAUUCCAUAUUUUGGCUUCAAGUAAGUUUAAUUCUUGCUUUGUCCUUGAAAUUUUUAUAUUUUUAGACUUUUACAAUUAGGUCCAACUUAGUAUUCUACUAGUUUCUCAUUUUGUUGAAAGUUUUGGAAGAUACUAAUGAUAAGUUCAUAUGAUUGUUGUUAUUUUUUGAUGAAAUUGAGAUGUUAAUGGAUGUUUAAAGGUGUUUUAUUAAAGAAUUUUAGAUGAAAACAUGUUUUAGGGAUUAAAUUGAAAAAUAUUGAAAUCAUGGAGAAAUUCUAAAAUUUUAUGGAAUCUAUGGGCUGUUAUUGAUAUGUAUGAGAAAUAAUAGGCUUGAAUGAAGGAUUAUAUUGCAAGAAUUUCAUUUUCCAAGCCUAGGGACGAAAUUAUCAUGUAUUAAAAGUUUAGAGUCAAAUUGGUAAUCAAUAUAUUACACUAAACAGUUUUGGGCAGCAGCAGUGGUCUGACUUUGAAAAAUCACCAAAAAUUGUGGGAAUUGAAUUAGAGGGUGAAUAAAAUAUGAAAUUAAAGCUUAUUGAGUCUAGUUUCUCAUAGAAGAAACGGUGUAAGUAAUGAAAUUGUAAAUCAUGAGAUAUAAUAGAUUUUGUGAGACAAUGUCAGAAUGAAUUCGGGUUCCCCUGUUCUGAAUUUGGAAAAUCAUUAAAAAUUGUAAAAAAAUGAUUAUGAGUUAUAAUUUAUAUGAUUAGAAUCCUUAAUGAGUCUAUUUUCAGAAGAAACCAAUAUAAAUACCAUCCAAAUUCUGUACAAUGAGAUAAUUAAUUUUUAGUGAAGAGUGGUCGGAACUGUCAGACAGCAAAACAGGGGAAACUUUAAAGAAUAAACAGCUUUGAAUAUACAUGUGAGUGAAUAGUGAAAUUAUAGCUAAUGUUGUUUAAGUGUGUUAUACACAUUAAGGAUGUGGAAUGGAGAGGAGGAGGAGGAAAAUUGGGAAGUAUAUGAAUGAUUUGUGUAUAAUUGGUCAUAUGCUUGAUUAUAAUUGAUAAACGGUGAAAUAGAAAUAAUGCUUAUAUUUGUGCAUUAUUGGUUUUGGUUUAAGCUCAUGUGUGAAAAUAAAGUUUCAUAGUACGUGUGUAUCGUAUAUUCGGUAUAUGAUUUGGCAUGAAAUAAUUUCAUGAAUGGUUUAUCAUGUGGUUAGUUCCAAAAAGGGUUAUGUUUAAAUAUACUAGCUUGUGACUAUGGUUGAAUGAUAUGUUUAUAUCUUGUGUGAUGUGCAUAGGAAACAAGUGUGGUAAGAUAAUGAAAUAGUAAGUUCAUAUGACCGAAAUUUAAUGAUUAAAUGUUAAUUUCAUGAGUUAUGUAAUGUAUGAUGAGAUAUAUUUAUUGAUGAAAUGAGAAUAAAAUAAAAAUGCAAAAAUUGAAUAAAUGAUCAAAUUGAGCGGAACGCCGGAUUUGAGUACUUAUGAUCAAGUGACAAAGUGAUAGGUGAUAGCUUCGGCUACACUUAUCUGAUCAAGUGACAAGUGGAAAGUGAUAAGUGAUAGCUUCGACUACACUUAUCUGAUCAAGUGACAAGUGGAAAGUGAUAAGUGAUAGCUUCUGCUAUACUUAUCUGAUCAAGAGACAAUGUGAUAAGUGAUAGUUUCGGCUACACUUAUCUGAUCAAGUGACAAGUGAAAAGUGAUAAGUGAUAGCUUUAGCUACACUUAUCUGAUCAAGAGACAAAGUGAUAAGUGGCUACACUUAUCUGAUCAAGAAACAAAGUGAUAAGUGGCUACACUUAUCUGAUCAGGGACAAGUGAUAAGUGAUCAUACGUAAGACCAUAGUUAUACUAUGGCAAAGUGAAAGUGAAGUACUCAAUUUUCCGUAACCGUUCCCUAAUUUGAUUAAGGAUGGUAAGUGACAAAUGGGCCCAAAUGAAUUAAAGUAAAUGAAUAAGUGGUAGUGUAUUUAUACCAGGAUGAUGUUGUUAUUUAAGCUAAAGUGAUAUUUUCAUUGCAAAAUUAAGAAUUUCAUAAAUGUGUUAUUGAACGAUAUAAUCGAUAAACGUUGAGUUAAAUGGUAAAUACGUAUUAGUGUUAAACUUAGUGACAUUGAAUUGUACGUGAAUUAAAUGGAAAUUGCUAGUGAUAUGAUCUAAAUUGUGAGCAUGAGAAAUUGCGAAUUAAAUGAAAUGGAAAUGAAGCAUUGAAUUGUAUGAGUAUAUACCGGGUCUCGUAGGCCCUAAUUAUUAUGAUUAUAAUAUUUUGAGGAUAUAUUGUGAAAAGUUAUAGAAGCAUUCUAAUUAUUUUGAAAGUUUUAAUUUAGUUGAAAUUUUAUAACUCGGUUAAAUACGUUUACAAGUGUAUGUGUUUUGGUAAUGCCUCGUACCCUAUUCCGCUCGUACCCUAUUCCGGUGUUGGAUACGGGUAAGGGGUGUUACAUAGCAAUUUUCUUUCGGGCCGGGAUUGGACAAAUUUUUAGGCCCAUGUUUCGGGCUGGGCUGGGCCUGGGCCUAAAAAACGGGCCUAAAUUUUUAUCUGGGCCCGGCCCGGCCCAUGAUCACCUCUACUUCUAUCCAUAAGGCUUGCUAAGAUAAUCAACAAUAAAUUAUUAGUACUUUAUAUAAUAACAUAAAAUUACAUAAUUUAUUCUUUUGAUGGUGUAAAAGUUUUAUUACACACAAAUUUAUUAUUAUUUACUAAUGGUAUUUUUAUAGAAGAAUUUUCUACAGAUAAACUGAUUGACUUUUUAUCAAUAGAGAAUGGUAAAUACUGACAUGUAAAAUUAUUUCCUAAUAAUAUGUCUCCAUGCAUUUCAGGAAAACAUAAAAUUUUAGGAAUCAUAAAUCUUAUAUUUUUUUAUGUAGAUUGAUAUAUUUCUAGCUUUAUAAUUAAUUAUGGUUUUAUUAUCAUCCAUUCCUAUUACUUUUAUAGGAUUUUUAAUAGUUUCCCAUUUUUCUACAGGAAUGACAUUUUUUCUGCAACUACUGGUUGUAGCUCCAGUAUCUAAUAAAGCAUGUAAAGAAUAUUUUUUAUAUUCUCUAAAUUGAAAUGCAAUUUCAAUAUAUGUAUCAUAUUUCCUAGAUUGGAAAUUAUUUAUUUCAACUUUCAUUUGUUUACUAAUCGUUGAAUUUUGUAUUUCUUCCGUUCUAGAGUUUCUAGAAUUUCUACUUGGUUAUGUAGGGAAAAUAGGAAUAUGAAUUGUUUUUACUCCUAUUGGUGUAGAAUUAUUACUAAUAUUAUCCUCUUCUUCUUCUACUGAAUUAUUAGAGGGUAAAAUUAAGUUUUCAUUUGUAUUAGUUAUAGCAAGGUUUUUAAAGUAUAACUUAUUCCCCGAUGACAUAUAUUCUAUGGUACUUACUGGUUUAGAAGUACUUGCACUACUUAUCUUUUCUAUCAUCCAAUCUUUUGGAAUUGAUAGAUCUCUUAAAUGUAAUAAUUUUGGUUGUAUUUCUGUAGUAAAUUUAUUAGGUUCAAAGAGCUUAAUAAUUUUGUUGUUU